rnacentral:ncRNA from 2 species
UUUUAUUUAAAAGCGCCAGAACUAAACGUAGAGGUUUAGUUGACGAGGUGGAGGAGUAUCGAGGAUUUCGGCGGAUACCUCCCGGCUGCCACACACAGUCGAUGUCUUUUUCUUAAAACACUGAGGUGACUUGGUGCACAAAGGAAAAAGAAAAGUGGAAA